GCCGACCCCUCGCGCGGCGGUAUCCCGCCGAACUCCCCCAGGGCCGGAAGGCAGCAAGGGUAAGUGGGCUCUGCCGGGUGCGCGAGGGGUCCUUUGC
rnacentral:SRP_RNA from 1 species